rnacentral:rRNA from 1 species
UACGUAGGUGGCAAGCGUUGUCCGGAUUUACUGGGCGUAAAGGGCGUGCAGGCGGUCUGUUAAGUGCAGGGUGAAAGCUCCCGGCUCAACUGGGAGAGGUCCUUGCAUACUGGCGGACUUGAGGGGGGUAGAGGAAAGUGGAAUUCUCGGUGUAGUGGUGAUAUGCGUAGAUAUCGGGAGGAACACCUGUGGCGAAGGCGGCUUUCUGGGCCCUACCUGACGCUGAGACGCGAAAGCGUGGGGAGCGAACCGG